CGAAAGAAAAAAUAAAUAAAGUCAUUCUUGGACAAUUGGUGGUAAUUUAAAUAUGGAUUAUGUAUUAGAUAUUACAGAAUUAUUUAUAAUCUUUUAGGUGUUCCAACAUAGACUGACUAUGUAGGAAAAUUCCCUUAUUCUUAGUAGCUGCAUGCUGAAGUGUUUAGGGUAAAUCUCAGGCUGUCUGCAACUUUCUUUCAUAUGAUUCAUGGGGGGAGAUACAUACACACACACUCACACACUUGCACACACACACUAAGUGUGUGAGAGUGUAUGAGAGAAAGAAUAUGUGGCAAUAUGUUAACCAGUGAGAUCUGGAUGCAGGUUAAUAUAGAUGUUCAUUAUUGUAUUAUUUGUUUAACUUUUCUGUAAGUUUGUUUUUAAAAAAUAAAAAGUGAUUAAAAAUUGUUCCAAGGGAAAGCUAUACAGAUAAUUUUUUUCAAUUGUAAUGCUGAAAAAAAACAGUUUUUAUUGCAAAAUGACUAGCUUGAUUAUAUGUUCUUUCUUUGACAACAGGGAAAAGGAGUUAAUCCAUUUCUUUCUGACAGUAUGUACUUCCUAGCUUCCCCAUAACUAUCAACAAUAUCACUAAUUUUCUUUCUACAAAUGUGAAAAUUGGUUAUUGUUUAUAAAAUAGAAAUGCAAAAUAUACUUACUAUUUUAUAAUUGUUCUUUAAACAGAAUUAAUAUGUUUUCAUAAACUCCAUUGUAAGAAUGCUAUAAUUCUCCACAUUUUAAAAAAUGUAAUGACAGCCACUAAAAGAAUAGAAAUACAAUCUAUAGAUUUGAAAUUAAUAAAGUGGGGGCCGGGCACAGUGGCUCCCGUCUGUAAUCCCAGCACUUUGGGAGUCUGAGGCAGGAGGAUCACUUGAGGUCAGGAGUUCGAGACCAGCCUGGCCAACAUGGUGAAACCCUGUCUGUCCUAAAAAUACAAAAAUUAGCUAGGCCUGGUGGUGUGUGCCUGUAAUACCAGUUACCUGGGAGGCUGAGGCAGGAGAAUCAUUUGAACCUGGGAGGCAGACUUUGCAGUGAGCCCAGAUCGUGCCACCGCACUCCAGCCUGGGCAACAGAACUAGACUCCAUCUCAAAAAAAAAAAAAAAAAAAGAAAGAAAGAAAAAAGAAAAAAGGAAAGUGUUACAGAAUUUUUUAUCAGUCCAAUGCAGGGAAAGAUAUAAAAAGACAUAGCUAAACUUAAAAAUAAUAUAAACACUCUCCGAACCAGAAACUGAAAGAAAAUUAAAAGUGGCCACCAGUGCUAAACCCACAGGCCUUCUGAGCUCUGGCGUGGAAGCAGGGUCUGAGGGUGCCAAUUACCUGAGGCAAAGAGGCCAGAAAGAGAACCAUUCAAGACAAGGAAUCAGAGAGUCAGACUCAAGACUUAAUGCCUGGAAUUAGGGUAGGGCUGCCCUGGCCAUGAAAGGGAAUGGGGCUAGGGGAAGAGUGAUGAGGAAUACCCAACAAACUGUGACCAAAAAGCAUGUGGUUACAGCUUUUAGGAAGCUACGGGCAUAAGGAAAUUGGAGGACACAGAAGUAGCCUCCUAAACAAAAAUGGAAACCAACCACCCGCUGGCUCACACCUGAAUCUGCAUUGUCUCUAUCACAGAAGAAAUUAAGAGCUCACUAUAUUAUGUAAACCUAGUGAGAGAGAGAGAGACCUUUCCACCCAAAAUGAGUCUGCAAACUAAAUUCCAAAACAUAAGAAAGAAAGAGAGUGAACAAAGUCAAUAAUCGUAAUUUUUUAAUGAAAGUUUUAAAAUCAGUGGGUUUCAAAUGUACAUGAAAAAGUAAUAGCAUUUAUUAGAAACAAACAAAAAUAAUGAAACAGUUACAUAUGAAACUGAAAACGACAGUUUUGAGAUAGAAUGAAAUAUUUCAGAAAUGCAAUAUAAAGUCAAUGAAGUAAUGUAACAUGGUAAAUUAGAAAAAUGGAAGAUGGUACUGAGGAAGUUCCACAUGCAGUACAGAAAUAAAAUAAUAACAUGUUCAAAUGAAAGAGCAAUUAUGAUACAUACAGAAGAGACUGAGAAGUUCCAAUACAUACAUAGUAGGUGUUGAAAAGAUUGAACGGAGCAGUAGAGAUAAGUUACAUAUUUUAAAGUUUGCAAUAUUCAGUAGAGAUAAAUGGAUACAUCAUAGAAUAAUAAAAUAAAGAAUCUAUUAAGACUAUAGGCCGGACUCGGUGGCUCACGCCUGUAAUCCCAGCACUUUGGGAGGCCGAGGCGGGUGGAUCAUGAG
rnacentral:lncRNA from 1 species